rnacentral:misc_RNA from 1 species
GGCUUUAUAAUUCUUUACUUUGAAAACUCUUACAUGUAUGGGAUAAGAUUCAUGUGGCUGUAAUAUUUUUGGAACAAAGCAACAAGUACAAGACAAAAGUCUUUCUUGGGCUGUUUUCUAUACUUUGCGCUGAGCUGAAAUGCUUAAAAUUUUUUCAACCGAACUGAACUGUUGGCUAAUAUACGAUUCGUUGUUCUAAACUUACAAGUAUAUACCAUAUUUUGCAAUUGGAGGAAGACUUGGAAGAGUUUGUCAUGGGGCCAUGAGUCCUUCAAUAGUGUAAGUUAGAGAUUCUGCCCAAUCAGAUUUGAGCACCAGUGUCUGCAGGGUGUGCAUAACAUCAUAAUCAGGAUCAAGCUUCCUUUGGAGGAA